UACGGAGGGGACUAGCGUUGUUCGGAAUUACUGGGCGUAAAGCGCACGUAGGCGGAUUUGUAAGUCAGGGGUGAAAUCCCGGGGGCUCAACCUCGGAACUGCCUUUGGUACUGCAAAUCUCGAGUCCGGAAGAGGUGAGUGGAAUUCCUAGUGUAGAGGUGAAAUUCGUAGAUAUUAGGAAGAACACCCGUGGCGAAGGCGGCUCUCUGGGACGGUACUGACGCUGAGACGCGAAAGCGUGGGGAGCGAACAGG
rnacentral:rRNA from 1 species